rnacentral:rRNA from 1 species
UACGGAGGCUCCAAGCGUUAUCCGGAUUCAUUGGGCUUAAAGGGUGCGUAGGCGGAAUGAUAAGUCAGUGGUGAAAUCUCUCGGCUUAACCGAGAAACUGCCAUUGAUACUGUCAAUCUUGAGUACAUUUGAUGUGGGCGGAAUGUGUCAUGUAGCGGUGAAAUGCUUAGAUAUGAGGCAGAACACCGAUUGCGAAGGCAGCUCACAGGACUGUAACUGACGCUGAGGCACGAAAGCGUGGGUAGCAAACAGG